rnacentral:rRNA from 1 species
AUGGCAUCCGCUCCUGCGGCGGUUCCCCGCGUGAAGCUGGGCUCCCAGGGAAUGGAGGUCUCGGCGCAGGGCCUCGGCUGCAUGGGCAUGUCCGCCUUCUACGGCGCGCCCAAGCCCGAGCCCGACAUGGUCGCGCUCAUCCGUCACGCCGUCGCCGCCGGAGUCACCUUUCUCGACACCUCCGACAUGUACGGGCCGCACACCAACGAGAUGCUGCUCGGCAAGGCGUUGCAAGGCGACAUGAGGGAGAAGGUGGAUCUGGCCACCAAGUUCGGCAUCUCGUUCGCAGACAACAAGUGGAACAUCCGGGGGGAUCCAGCGUACGUGCGCGCGGCUUGCGAGGGCAGCCUCAAGCGGCUGGGUGUCGACUGUAUUGAUCUCUACUACCAGCACCGCAUCGACAAAAAUGUGCCCAUCGAGGUCACGAUUGGCGAACUCAAGAAGCUAGUCGAAGAAGGAAAGAUAAAAUACAUCGGACUAUCUGAAGCAUCUGCAUCAACAAUCAGAAGGGCUCAUGCUGUCCAUCCUAUUACUGCAGUUCAGCUGGAGUGGUCAUUAUGGUCUAGAGAUGUGGAAGAAGACAUAAUUCCAACUUGCAGAGAACUUGGAAUCGGAAUCGUACCUUACAGCCCACUUGGUAGAGGAUUUUUCUCUGGUGGAGCAAAACUGAUCGACUCGCUAUCAGAUCAGGACUACCGCAAGCAUAUGCCCAGAUUCCAGCCAGAAAAUCUUGAGAAGAAUACCCUGAUAUUUGAGCGUGUUAACGCAAUGGCAACAAGAAAAGGGUGCACACCAUCACAACUUGCAUUGGCCUGGGUUCAUCAUCAGGGGAGCGAUGUUUGUCCCAUACCUGGCACAACAAAAAUCGAGAAUUUCAACCAGAAUGUGGGAGCACUAUUUGUGAGGCUCACACCAGAGGAGAUGGCUGAACUCGAGUCCUAUGCCACUGCCGGUGAUGUCCAGGGUGAGCGGUACUCUGAAAUGGCGAGUACUUGGAAGUAUUCUGAGACCCCUCCAUUGUCAUCCUUGAAAGCUGCGUAG